rnacentral:lncRNA from 1 species
GACAAUUCAGGUUCGUACCAAGUUCGUUCUGAAAUGGAGUGGUUGGUGUAUUGUAUAGUUCUAGGGAUUGUAUUUCACUCAAAACCCACCAAAUGCCUCCUCCCACAAUAUUAUGUUGUUCCCCAAGUUUUGGACUCAAUCCGAUAUCGAUUGGGGCUUGAAAUCGGACAAUUCAGGUUCGUACGAAGUUCGUUCUGAACUGGAGUGGUUGGUGUAUUGUCUAGUUGUAGGGAUUGUAUUUCACUCAAAACCCACCAAAUGACUCCUCCCACAAUAUUAUGAUGUUCCCCAAGUUUUGGACUCAAUCCGAUAUCGAUUGGUCCUUGAAAUCGGACAAUUCAGUUCCGUACGAAGUUCGUUCUGAAAUGGUGUGGUUGGUGUAUUGUAUAGUUCUAGAGAUUGGAUUUCACUCAAAACCCACCAAAUGACUCCUCCCACAAUAUUAUGAUGUUCCCCAAGUUGUGGACUCAAUCCGACAACGAUUGGGGCUUGAAAUCGGACAAUUCAGGUUCGUACGAAGUUCGUUCUGAAAUGGAGUGGUUGUAUUGUAUAGUUCUAGGGAAUGUAUUUCACUCAAAACCCACCAAAUGACUCCUCCCACAAUAUUAUGAUGUUCCCCAAGUUUUGGACUCAAUCCGAUAUCGAUUGGUCCUUGAAAUUGGACAAUUCAGGUUCGUACGCAGUUCGUUCUGAAAUGGGGUCUUUGGUGUAUUGUAUAGUUCUGGAGAUUGGAUUUCACUCAAAACCCACCAAAUGGAUCCUCCCACAAUAUUAUGAUGUUCCCCAAGUUUUGGACUCAAUUCGAUAUCGAUUGGUUCUUGAAAUCGGACAAUUCAGGUUCGUAUGAAGUUCGUUCUGAAAUGGGUUGGUUGGUGUAUUGUAUAGUUCUAGAGAUUGGAUUUCACUCAAAACCCACCAAAUGACUCCUCCCACAAUAUUAUGAUGUUCCCCAAGUUUUGGACUCAAUCCAAUAUCGAUCGGUCCACGAAAUUUGACAAUUCAGGUUCGUACCAAGUACGUUCUGAAAUGGAGUGGUUGAUGUAUUGUAUAGUUCUAGGGAUUGUAUUUCACUCAAAACCCACCAAAUGAAUCCUCCCACAAUAUUAUGAUGUUCCCCAAGUUUUGGACUCAAUCCGAUAUCGAUUGGUUCUUGAAAUCGUACAAUUCAGGUUCGGAUGAAGUUUGUUCUGAAAUGGGGUGGUUGUUGUAUUGUAUAGUUCAAGAGAUUGGAUUUCACUCAAAUCCCACCAAAUGCCUCCUCCCACAAUAUUAUGAUGUUCCCCAAGUUUUGGACUCAGUCCGAUACCGAUUGGGGCUUGAAAUCGGACAAUUCAGGUUCGUACCAAGUUCAUUCUGAAAUGGAGUGGUUGGUGUAUUGUAUAGUUCUAGGGAUUGUAUUUCACUCAAAACCCACCAAAUGUAUCCUCCCACAAUAUUAUGAUGUUCCCCAAGUUUUGGACUCAAUCCGAUAUCGAUUGGGGCUUGAAGUCGGACAAUUCAGGUUCGUACCAAGUUCAUUCUGAAAUGGAGUGGUUGGUGUAUUGUAUAGUUCUAGGGAUUAUAUUUCACUCAAAACCCACCAAAUGCCUCCUCCCACAAUGUUAUGAUGUUCCCCAGGUUUUGGACUCAAUCCGAUAUCGAUCAGUCUACGAAAUAUGACAAUUCAAGUUCGUACGAAGUUCUAGGGAUUGUAUUUCACUCAAAACCCACCAAAUGGUUGUGGGAGGAGUCAAGUGGUUGGUGUACUGUAUAGUUCUAGGGAUUGUAUUUCACUCAAAAUCCGCCAAAUGACUCUCCCACAAUAUUAUGAUGUUCCCCAAGUUUUGGACUCAAUCCGAUAUCGAUAGGUCCACGAAAUUUGACAAUUCAGGUUCGUAUGAAGUUCGUUCCGAAAUGGGGUGGUUGGUGUAUUGUAUAGUUUUAGAGAUUGGAUUUCACUCAAAACCCACCAAAUGACUCCUCCCACAAUAUUAUGAUGUUCACCAAGUUUUGGACUCAAUCCAAUAUCGAUCGGUCCACGAAAUUUGACAAUUCAG